rnacentral:rRNA from 1 species
CAAUUAAUUUAUAAUAUACUAGAUUAUUAAUAGUUAUUUACUUAAAAUUUAAAGAAUUUGGCGGUAGUUUAGUCCAGUUAGAGGAACCUGUUUUAAGAAUUAAAUCGAUAAACCACGUAGAAUCUUACUUAUUUUAGUUAUAAUUAGUUUGUAUACCAUCAUUAUUAGAUAAUUUUAUAAAGAUAGUAAUUAUUGAAGUGAAUUAUGUUAAAUAAAUUAGAUCAAGGUGCAGCUUAUAAAUAAGUUAAAAUGGGUUACAAUAAAUUUUAUUUAUUACGAAAUAAUUUAGGAAUAUAGAGAUUAGGAAGGAGGAUUUAAUUGUAAUAUAAAUUUAAUAAGUUUAUGUGAUAAAGGUUCUAAAUUAUGUACACACCGCCCGUCCCCCACAUAUAAAA